UAGGGAAUCUUCCACAAUGGACGCAAGUCUGAUGGAGCAACGGCCGCGUGAGUGAAGAAGGCUUUCGGGUCGUAAAACUCUGUUAUUGAAGAAGAACGUGUGUGACAGUAACUGGUCAUGCAGUGACGGUAUUCAAUCAGAAAGUCACGGCUAACUACGUGCCAGCAGCCGCGGUAAUACGUAGGUGGCAAGCGUUGUCCGGAUUUAUUGGGCGUAAAGCGAGUGCAGGCGGUCUUUUAAGUCUGAUGUGAAAGCCUUCGGCUUAACCGAAGAAGGGCAUCGGAAACUGGGAGACUUGAGUGCAGAAGAGGAGAGUGGAACUCCAUGUGUAGCGGUGAAAUGCGUAGAUAUAUGGAAGAACACCAGUGGCGAAGGCGGCUCUCUGGUCUGUAACUGACGCUGAGGCUCGAAAGCGUGGGUAGCAAACAGGAU
rnacentral:rRNA from 1 species